UAAUCGACGAAUUUCAUAUUUUUUUCUAUUUUAAAAGUUCAUCUUCGACAAGGAAAAUGAACUUAAUAUGACUCUUUUAGCGGGAUUUGGCUUUCAUUCUUUGGGCUUUGAUUUUGAUAUAGGUGGGAACUACUGCUAGCUUCCCGGAUCGGUACUGUCGCCUGUGUUACAAUUUUUCACUGGCCGUUUCCCAGCUGUUUCCAGGUCUUCUGGCAGUUUCCAGGACCUUUUCUGUGUCUGGAACCUCGGUGCCUCACUUGGCGAUUCAAAAAAACGAUUGUUGGGGAUGCCCGCUCUUUUCUCGUUAAGUCGGAUGGCAUUGUCAAAUUGUGGAUUUAUGCGCGGCGUUAUUUCCCUAAAUAAAACACACAAACUUAAAAUCAACAAACUUACAGAUUGUUUAGAUUCCCCACAAAAAUAAAACAAUAAAACACACGAAUAGUAACUGCCAACUGAA